CCCUUAGAUGUUCUGGGCCGCACACGCGCUACACUGAAGGAGGCAGCGUGUACUCCUGGAUCGAAAGAUUUGGGUAACCCGCGAAUCUCCUUCGUGCUAGGGAUUGAGGUUUGCAAUUAUCCUUCAUGAACGAGGAAUUCCCAGUAAGUGCAAGUCAUAAGCUUGCGCUGACUACGUCCCUGCCCUUUGUACACACCGCCCGUCGCUACUACCGAUUGAAUGAUUUAGUGAGGACUUCGGACUGGGGCCGAUGCGGCUUUCGGGCUGCGUCGGUAUUCUGGAAAGAUGUCCAAACUGUAUCAUUUAGAGGAAGUAAAAGUCGUAACA
rnacentral:rRNA from 1 species